rnacentral:rRNA from 1 species
CCUACGGUAGGCAGCAGUGGGGAAUAUUGGGCAAUGGAGGCAACUCUGACCCAGCAACGCCGCGUGAGUGAUGAAGGUCUUCGGAUUGUAAAACUCUUUAAGUGGGGACGAAGAAAGUGACUGUACCCACAGAAUAAGCCUCGGCUAACUACGUGCCAGCAGCCGCGGUCAGACGUAGGAGGCAAUCUUUAUCCGGAUUGACUGGGCGUAAAGGGUGCGUAGGUGGAUUGACAAGUUGGUCGCGUAAUUCCGGGGCUCAACUUCGGAACUACUGCGAGAACUGUUGGGCUUGAGUGCAGGAGAGGUGAAUGGAAUUCCUAGUGUAGCGGUGGAAUGCGUAGAUAUUAGGAGGAACACCAGCGGCGAAGGCGAUUCACUGGACUGUAACUGACACUGAGGCACGAAAGCGUGGGGAGCAAACAGGAUUAGAUACCCCAGUAGUC